rnacentral:miRNA from 1 species
GAAUAAUGAUGAUGAUGAUGAUGAUGAUGGAAGUAUCAUUGUUACCACCAUUAUUAUCAUUAUUAUUAUCAUCAUCAUCAUCGUCGUCGUCA